AGUGUGGGUACCUCAGUGGC
rnacentral:misc_RNA from 1 species